rnacentral:rRNA from 1 species
CGGUGGAGUAUGUGGUUUAAUUCGACGCAACGCGCAGAACCUUACCUAGACUUGACAUCCCGGGGAUUUUCUGGAAACAGAGAAGUGCUUUAGCAAUAAAGAACCCGGUGACAGGUGCUGCAUGGCUGUCGUCAGCUCGUGUCGUGAGAUGUUGGGUUAAGUCCCGCAACGAGCGCAACCCUCGUUGGAUGUUGCCAGCGGUUCGGCCGGGCACUCAUCCGAGACUGCCGCAGCAAUGUGGAGGAAGGUGGGGAUGACGUCAAGUCAGCAUGCCCCGUACGCCCUGGGCUACACACAUACUACAAUGCACGAGGCAAUCGGUUGCCAACCCGUGAGGGGGAGCCAAUCCGCCAAGCUCGUGCUCAGUGCAGAUUGCAGGCUGCAACUCGCCUGCAUGAAGGCGGAAUCGCUAGUAAUCGCGGAUCAGCACGCCGCGGUGAAUACGUUCCCGGGCCUU